GUAGGUGGCAAGCGUUGUCCGGAAUUAUUGGGCGUAAAGCGCGCGCAGGCGGUCCUUUAAGUCUGAUGUGAAAGCCCACGGCUCAACCGUGGAGGGUCAUUGGAAACUGGGGGACUUGAGUACAGAAGAGGAAAGCGGAAUUCCAAGUGUAGCGGUGAAAUGCGUAGAGAUUUGGAGGAACACCAGUGGCGAAGGCGGCUUUCUGGUCUGUAACUGACGCUGAGGCGCGAAAGCGUGGGGAGCAAACAGGAUUAGAUACCCUGGUAGUCCACGCCGUAAACGAUGAGUGCUAAGUGUCAGGGGGUUUCCCGCCCCCCUUAGUGCUGCAGCUAACGCAUUAAGCACUCCGCCUGGGGAGUACGGCCGCAAGGCUG
rnacentral:rRNA from 1 species